UACGUAGGGGGGCAAGCGUUGUCCGGAUUUAUUGGGCGUAAAGAGCGUGUAGGCGGCCCAGGUAGGUGGGGUUGUGAAAACUGGAGGCUCAACCUUCAGACGUCGACCCAAACCCCCUGGCUAGAGUCCGGAAGAGGAGAGUGGAAUUCCGGGUGGAGUGGUGAAAUGCGUAGAUAUCCGGAGGAACACCAAUGGCGAAGGCAGUGUCCUGGGAAGUACCGUGACGCUGAGACGCGAAAGCGUGGGGAGCAAACAGG
rnacentral:rRNA from 1 species